AAUGAAGCGAAAGGAAGUCAGACAGAGUCUUUCAGGGUUCCUCCCAGAUGCCUGAAGAACUCAGCCUCAUAGGGCAAGCCUACUUCCCUACAUUUCCUUGGAAGCUUGACGAAUACUUUCCUGAGGCAGCUUGUACAGCAUUCUAGAGUUGAUCCUUACAGGUGGAUUUCCCAUUCUUGAAAACUCAAGUGAACACCCCACAGCUUCAACUGCUAUGCUACAUUAUGAAAAGGAGGUUUGAGGUUGUCAAUCAGAUAAAUGAGGAGUACUGACUGGACAAAUCUGCUCCUAGAUUUCCUAGCUGUCCCAGGGACCUCUUCCUUUGCUCAUUGGAAGCUUUUUGCUGAAUUGGAUGUAACUGAAUAAAGAGAGCACGUGAGAUCUUUACUCCAUUGGUUCUUUGAAAAACAAUGUACUGACAGAAGAUGCAGAAGAAUAAUGCAAAAAGGAGCACCAUACUCUUGAAGCAUAUGCAACUUUAAGAAUAUACACAGUGCACCUCAAAAGUUUUCUCACUUGCCCAGUGGAGAAUCAACAUUGCGUCAAACAGAGGAGUCAGCGAAAGGUAGAUGCACAGGGGUCAUUUUAACAGGCUACUCUAGCUGGGAUUUACAGUGGCCAUGGAAGUUACUAUAAACAGAUUUUUAAAUAGUUUUCUCAAGACCUUUUAUAUA
rnacentral:lncRNA from 1 species